rnacentral:rRNA from 1 species
CACGUAGGGCGCAAGCGUUGUCCGGAAUUAUUGGGCGUAAAGAGCUCGUAGGCGGACUGUUGCGUCCGCUGUGAAAAGCUGGGGCUUAACCCUGGCCUUGCAGUGGAUACGGGCAGACUAGAGGUAGGUAGGGGAGAAUGGAAUUCCCGGUGUAGCGGUGAAAUGCGCAGAUAUCGGGAGGAACACCGGUGGCGAAGGCGGUUCUCUGGGCCUUACCUGACGCUGAGGAGCGAAAGCGUGGGGAGCGAGCCGG